rnacentral:rRNA from 1 species
AGAGUUUGAUCCUGGCUCAGGAUGAACGCUAGCUACAGGCUUAACACAUGCAAGUCGAGGGGCAGCAUCAUCAAAGCUUGCUUUGAUGGAUGGCGACCGGCGCACGGGUGAGUAACACGUAUCCAACCUGCCGACAACACUGGGAUAGCCUUUCGAAAGAAAGAUUAAUACCGGAUGGCAUAGUUUUCCCGCAUGGGAUAAUUAUUAAAGAAUUUCGGUUGUCGAUGGGGAUGCGUUCCAUUAGGCAGUUGGCGGGGUAACGGCCCACCAAACCAACGAUGGAUAGGGGUUCUGAGAGGAAGGUCCCCCACAUUGGAACUGAGACACGGUCCAAACUCCUACGGGAGGCAGCAGUGAGGAAUAUUGGUCAAUGGGCGCAGGCCUGAACCAGCCAAGUAGCGUGAAGGAUGACUGCCCUAUGGGUUGUAAACUUCUUUUAUAAAGGAAUAAAGUCGGGUAUGUAUACCCGUUUGCAUGUACUUUAUGAAUAAGGAUCGGCUAACUCCGUGCCAGCAGCCGCGGUAAUACGGAGGAUCCGAGCGUUAUCCGGAUUUAUUGGGUUUAAAGGGAGCGUAGGCGGGUUGUUAAGUCAGUUGUGAAAGUUUGCGGCUCAACCGUAAAAUUGCAGUUGAUACUGGCGACCUUGAGUGCAACAGAGGUAGGCGGAAUUCGUGGUGUAGCGGUGAAAUGCUUAGAUAUCACGAAGAACUCCGAUUGCGAAGGCAGCUUACUGGAUUGUAACUGACGCUGAUGCUCGAAAGUGUGGGUAUCAAACAGGAUUAGAUACCCUGGUAGUCCACACAGUAAACGAUGAAUACUCGCUGUUGGCGAUAUACGGUCAGCGGCCAAGCGAAAGCAUUAAGUAUUCCACCUGGGGAGUACGCCGGCAACGGUGAAACUCAAAGGAAUUGACGGGGGCCCGCACAAGCGGAGGAACAUGUGGUUUAAUUCGAUGAUACGCGAGGAACCUUACCCGGGCUUAAAUUGCAACUGACUGAACCGGAAACGGUUCUUUCUUCGGACAGUUGUGAAGGUGCUGCAUGGUUGUCGUCAGCUCGUGCCGUGAGGUGUCGGCUUAAGUGCCAUAACGAGCGCAACCCUUAUCGAUAGUUACUAGCAGGUCAUGCUGAGGACUCUAUUGAGACUGCCGUCGUAAGAUGUGAGGAAGGUGGGGAUGACGUCAAAUCAGCACGGCCCUUACGUCCGGGGCUACACACGUGUUACAAU